rnacentral:misc_RNA from 1 species
UUUUGCUACCAGUCUGGCCUUAUACCUCUCAAUUGAACCAUCUGCUCUAUGCUUCACAGUGAACACCCACUUGCAUUCAACUGACUUCUUUCCCAGUGGGAGAGUAACAAGUUUCCAUGUCUCAUUCUUUGCCAGAACUUUCAUCUCCUCUACCAUGGCUACCUUCCAUUUUGGAUCAUGACAUGCUUUCUUCCAAUCCUGUGAGAUAGAGACAAAGGAAACAGACAG